ensembl:lncRNA
CUCUUCUAAAUCAUAGUAAGGGUUAUAAAGGCCAUUUGUAAGCAAAAUUUCAUAGCUCAUUAAAAAACAUCACAGAAGAAAAAAAUGUACCCUUUGAUCUUCUUCAUUCUUCUCUCUUUCUUUGGCCCAGUAAGUUUCAUUCUAGCUAGGGAGAAGCAAGAAGAGAGAAGAUGUAGACAGAGAAAACUUUCGGAGCUCCAGGGAUCAGUGAAAAAGAUUGUGCAUCCAAUUGCAUGGGCUUCUCAAAUUAGACCAAAGAGCUGUGCAGAUCUGGAUAUAUGUGGACCCUGCUGCAAUACAGUUCUACUGUUGGCUGUGAGAUUUUGAGUGAGUUUCUUACCUCUCUGAGCCUAGCUUUUCUCAUCUGUAAAUUAAAGAUAAUAAUGUGUAGCUCAUGGGAUAGAUCGGAGGAUUACAUGGGAUAAUGUGUAUAAUGCAUUUCGCAAAGUGACUAAUUUGUUGUAGGUAAGUAGUAGGAGAAGGGAACAUAGCAGCAUACACAAGGGAAAACAUAUGUAGGCAUGAGAAACAGAGAGUCUAGAACAAAGGAAAGGAGCAGAAAGUACAAGAAAUAACCAAGUGGCACAUAGAUAACAAAGAAACAGAUUUUGUUAUGGAAUAAAGAAGCAGGUUCAGAGUUCAAAAUAAGAUUUUUGUCAUUUUCCAAGAACAACAUAGUCAGAAUAGAAGCUGGACUAUGACCACACCUAAGUUCCUUAGCAGAUCAAAAUCACAGGCUUUCUUUUACAUACAUAUAUCUCAGACAUCUGCUCCCUCCAGGAAUUUUGCCUUGAUGUCAUCAGGGGAGGAAGACCUUCAAGAAUGUGCGAUAGAGUAGAGACCUUUGAUACUUACCAGGGUGAGGAGAAGAUAGAUGUCAUAGCCAGUUUUGAAGUGCUGUUUGAAUGGAGUAUUUUAGUAAGCUUUCAAAAGGGGUUGCAGUAUUUGUUUAGUAAAGGUCAGUUUUUGUUAGAAACUACUUUUCUUUCUCUGAGUAUUUUCAUAAGUGUUAAAUUAUUAUGAAGCAGUAAAUUUUUCGACUAUAAUGAAUAGAUGGAUGGGUAUUGCUUUAAGGAAAUUUUUUUUGGUCUUCUUUUUAGGGCUGCACUUGCAGUAUAUGGAGGGUCCCAGGCUAGGGGUUGAAUCGGAGCUGUAGCCUCUGGCCUAUGCCACAGCCAAAGCAAUGUGGGAUCCAAGCUGUGUCUGCUAUACCACAGCUCACCACAAUGCCAGAUCUUUAACCCACUGAGCAAGACCUGCAAAUGAACCCUCAUCCUCAUGGAUACCAGUUGGGUUUGUUACUGCUGAGCCAUGAUGGGAGCUCCGCUUUAAGGAAAUAUUAAGAUAAAGAGACAAUGUCCACUCUAUCCAGCAUGUACUCAUUGGGUACCUAUCGGGGUAGUCAGGAUAAAGAGGUGAAUGAAAUAAAAAACUUGAUGUGGGAAAGAAACUGUUUAAGAUAAUAAUAAUUAUUCUAACCAACCAUUCCAAAUUUGGUGGCUUAAACAAUAGCGACACUUUAUUGUUUCUCCUAAUUUUGUUGGUGACCUGGUUGUUCUUCUGAUGGUCUUGGCUGAUGUCCUGUAUAUGAUUACAUUGAAUGGUGACUGUGGCUAGAUUCAUCUGGAGACUUAUUUGGGAUAUACUGGGAUGACUAGGCUUUUCCCCUUUUCCAUAAAUUCAAGGCAUCAUCCUUUCCACCUGGCCUAUUCAGUGUCCUACUGCCAAAUAACUGAUCUCUCUACAUGAUGUCAAAAAUAAGCAUUCAAGAGCAAGGGCAUGGCAUUUUCCAGUCCUCUUAGAAGCAUCAUUUCCACUGUGUUCUGUUUGUUACUGUGAAUCAUAAACUGAGGUGUGUUAGGAAAUUAGCUCUCCAAGCAAAUAAAAAACAAGUAAAGAAAACUCCCACUAACUUGCAAUGUUAGCUGAUUUUCCUAGUGUAAAUAUUCCCGUCUCGGCUGAUUUCAAGCUACCAGUGUGAAAUCACUGAACACAGAAUUGGUAAGAGAUAUGCAAGAGCUGAUGUGAGCUGGCUAGAGUAUACCACUGGCCACCACAGGUUACUCAUGGCAGAGGACUAUCAGGCAAGAACACCAGAAGAUGUGGUUCACUGAAGGCCUUCUUUGGAGAUCACAACAGAAGCAAACAAUUGAAUAGGAAAGACAGAUUCAUAAAUGUACCAUUAUAUCAUUAGCAUUCAGCAAGAUAUGGUACAAUAUCAUGUUGCACAUAUGAUCAGAGAGCUAUAGGAGCAUAGAGAAUAUGACUGAUUCUGCCAGGGGAAGUCAGUGAAGCUUUGCAGUAAAGGUGAUGAUUAAGCUGAGUCUUGAAUUCAGGGAGAAAAUGUGAAGAAAACACCCAGUUAAAAGCGACAACAUGUACAAUUUCAGGAAUUGUUAAAAUGACUUAGCGAAUGGUAAAAAUGUUUCCUUUCUCACCUGACUGUAGUUGAUUCAUCUUGGCUAUUUAGAAAAUUUUGACCAUUGUUCACAUCAACCGCAUCAGACCACAUGGCUCAACUUUUGAAAAGAAAUCUGGCCCUGAUAAGUAGAGAGUUCCUAAAGGGCAGAAAUAGAGCGGGAGACUAAAAAUGUCUCCAGUGGUUAGGUUGUGAAAGUUCUUGAAGAGGUCUGGAUUUUAUCCUAUAAGCAAUGAGACUCCAUCAGACAAUUCCAAGAAAAUAAGUGGCAUGAAUUUAUGUUUCCUAUAUCUGCUGUAAAAAAAUUACCACGCAUUUAAUGGCUUAAGAAAAAACAGAUUUGUUAUCUUACAGUUAUGGAGGUCAGAAGUCUAGAAUCAGUCUUAUUGGGCUAAAUCAAGGUGUCAGUAGGCCUGGGUUCCUUCUGGAAGUUCCAGGAAAAAAUCUUUUUCUUUGCCCUCUUCAGCUUCUAGAGUUCACCUGCAUUUUUUGGUUCAUGACCACAUGACCACUUCUCCACAUCACUCUAACCUCUUGCUUGUUUGUGUGUGUGUUUGUGUGUGUGUGUGUGUGUGUGUGUGUGUGUGUGUGUGUGUGUGUUUAGGGCUGCACCUGGGGCAUAUGGAGGUUCCCAGGCUAGGGGUUGAAUUGAAGCUGUAGCUGCCUGCUUACUCCACAGCCACAGCCAUGUCAGAUCCUAGCUGCAUCUGUGACCUACACCAAUGCUCAUAGCAAUGCCGGAUCCUUAACCCACUGAGCAAGACCAGGGAUCGAACCUGCAUCCUCAUGGGUACUAGUCAGGUUUGUUUCUGCUGAGCCACUGAUGGAAACUCAACCUCUUGUUUCUUUUAUCCCAUCUCCUGCUACACACUUUGAUCCUCUUAGCUCCCUCUUUUAAGGCUCUUUGUGAUUACAUCGGACCCUUGCAGUUCAUACAGGAUAAUCUCCCCAUCUCAAGAUCUUUAACUCAGUCACACCUGCAAAGUCCCUUUUCCUUGUAAAGUAACAUAAUCACCACGUUUUAGGGAUUAGGAUGUGGAUGUCUUGGGGAGAGCCAUUAUUCAGCCUACCACACAUGAUCAGAUUUGUGUGUUAGAAUUAUCAUGUUGAUGGUUACAUGAUAAUUGAUUUAAGAAGCAUGACACAAGUUUAGGACAAUAAAUUGUAGUCUGUUGCAAUAGUCCAGGUACAGCCUGGAAGUAAGAUGUAACCAUGAGGAGAAAAAAGAGGAGUAUGAAUUCCACAGAUGUCUAGAAGCUGGAAUUAACAUAGUUUUCGUGACCAGUGGGCACUAAGGAGUAAAGCAGAGGAAAGACUCAAGGUCGACUCCCAUUUUUGCUUCACUUAGGUGAUUAUGACAUAAUAAAAACCACAGGGAAUGCAUGAAAAUUCAGGGUGGGAGAACACUUAGUUCCAUUUGGGCUGUGUUGUUUGAGUAGGUUUUGGAACAUCGUGGUGAGGCCAGAGGCAAUUGGAAAUUCAGAUGCCAUAAGAUAGAGGUCAUCCAUGGAUAACACACUGAGUAGGAGAAGAAAUUUAAGAAUAGGGUACUUGGAGUUCCCGUCGUGGCUCACUGGUUAACGAAUCUGACAAGGAACCGUGAGGUUGCGGGUUCGAUCCCUGGCCUUGCUCAGUGGGUUAAGGAUCUGGCGUUGCCGUGAGCUGUGGUGUAGGUUGCAGAUGCGGCUUGGAUCCUGAGUUGCUGUGGCUCUGGCGUAGGCUGGUGGCUACAGCUCUGAUUAGAUCCCUAGCCUGGGAACCUCCAUAUGCCGCGGGAGUGGCCCAAAAAAUGGAAAAACGACAAAAAAAAAAAAAAAAAAAAAAAAAGAUGCUAGAGACUCCAGAAUCUCUUAAGGGGGCAGAGAAGGGAAAAANNNNNNNNNNCAAAAAAAAAAAAAAAAAAAAAGAAUAAGAUGCUAGAGACUCCAGUAUCUCUUAAGGAGGCAGAGAAGGGAAAAAAGAGGUAUCACGGAAGGGAAAGAUGAGAGGCUAUCAAGAAGGAAGAGUUGGCAAUGACGUCAGAGAUCUUAGAGAGUCAAGGCGAAUAAGGCCUGAAGUCUGUUGGACUAUGAAAACAGAAGGUUUUUGUUAGAUUUCUCUAGGAGCAAUUGGUCUAUAGGGAGAGAAACUUGUUUGCCCCCAUGAUGAUGGUAGCUUUUACAUUUUAUAAUUUAAGGAGAAGUCAUUGGAGAGGAAGACAGUGAAGAUAAAGGUACAAGAGGUUAUAGAAAGAUAAUAAGUAGAGGAAGAGAUGAGUCAGGAACACAUAUCUAAGGGUUAGCUCUAUGGACAAAAGUGGAGGAGGAGAUGCAUAUAUGAUAAAUAAGGGUGAUAUGGCAAAGAUGAGGAAACUUAAGCUUCACAGACUUCCUGUCUUCUAUGAUGUUGAUGACAUGAAUACCUCCUCCAACCAAGGAAUCCAAACCCGAGCUCACAGGUUCUGUCUGGGAUAAGUAUGCACAGGUUUGGAUCCCAGUCCCAUCUCUUCCCAACUCUGUGACUUCAGAUGAGUUUCUUGAUUUAUCUCAGUCUCAGUUCCUUAUAUGCAAGUUGUGGAUGCUAAGGUUAUUUACCCCACACAGACUUAUUGUGAGAUCAAAAUAGAUAAUCUAUAGAUAAUCUAUAGAAUGUGCUUAAACAAACAUGAGGCAUUAUAAUUACUGGUACAAACUUGAGUCUCUCCACCUUACAUAAGCAUUUAAAAAUGCUUGAUUCGGAGUUCCCGUGUCGUGGUGCAGUGAUUAACGAAUCCAACUAGGAACCAUGAGGUUGCGGGUUCGGUCCCUGGCCUUGCUAAGUGGGUUAAGGAUCCAGCGUUG